ensembl:lncRNA
GCGGCCGCCCACCAGCCCCGGGCAGCCGGGGGCUCCCGCGUGGCUCCGGCGGGGGCUCCGGCAACGCCAAAACCUGCAUUGGCCAGGCGAGGAGGAGGAGGAGGCUGAAGCAGAACCGAGCUCGGAGUUAUCCUGUCAUAACACAGGAGUGAGAAAAUCCCGCUCUCUGCUCGCAUUAUCAUGAAUGAGUUACUGUGCUGGAAGUUUUGCAACGCACAGAUUUCUGCUUCGGUGAAACUAAGCGAUUGUGCAAGGCUGCAGCUGUCAAGGCCGUCAUCCGCAAGGCUUUGGUGCCAGCAGUGGAAGGCAGAGUGGGAAGCAGAGUGAGGUGAUCCAAACCAAACAAAGCGGCUCCAGCUGCUUCUCCCAAAUAAACUCAGGGACAGUUUUUGGACGUCUGGCUGGCUUGCAACCUUUUUCUCUGCACUGAGCAUCUGCUGCCGUGAAGAUAGGCAGAGAAAUGCCAAAUAGGGUUUUCUUUUCAGCUAUAAAGCCCUCAAUUUGUCUCAAGAACUCUUCUGUAACUGACAGCUGCCCAUUCAACAUUUGCAAAUCACCACAUCGCAACCACCUCCACAAGCAAUGGAAUAAACCUCGUGCAGAUACCCGAGCCCAAGAGAGGGUGACAGAAGACACGGGAGAAGGAGGGGACCAGGACCAGCUGAGAGAGUGACGGCAUCUUGCCAAGUCGAAGGUAACAUCCAUUUGUAUUUAACGUGCUGCCUUGAAAGUAACUGGCUAAUUCUGGUAAUUUUGGUAAUCUGCAGAGAGACCUGCAACAGUUACGUCCCUCUUGAUACCCUUUGGAUAGCUGCUUUUUCAGUUUGUCUGUUUUGGCCAGCUGAUGUGGAGAGGGGAAAAAUGGAAAAGACUGUGCUCUGGGAGUAAGCUGUCAAAGGAAGAGAUGUCUUCAACAGCGUGAAGGCACUCUGAAAGUCUGAGGUGGAGCAUCUCCAGUCUCUGUGCAGCCCAGGAAAAUCACUUUUGAAUUAUGCCAAACUCAGAGGCACCUUUUAUAGAUUUAUAUAUAUCUAUUCCAUCUAUAUAUCAAUAUUCAUUAUAUUUUGAUCAUUUUUGAAUUUUUGCUGGUGAACCUAUGGACUGCUUUUUAGGGAUUUCUGACAAGUAACUCAGAAAAGCAAGCCUACUGCUGGGAGGCUUACAGUCGCAGUGUAUAUGGCCAUCAUGCAUGGAAAAAAAAGAUGAAAAGCGUUAGCAGUAAGUACUUUUCUACCCGUAACUGUUGCUGUAUAAACAGUCAUUAUCAUGUGACUCAACAUCUUGAUAUUUAGGGAUUUUGUAUCAAAACAAAACUGAAGUUAAUAACACGCUUAACGUAUAGCUGAAAAUUGAACACAGGAUUAUAUUCUCAAUGUAGAUUGCAGCACUGCUUUUCUCCCGUUACACAUCAUUAUUCCUAAACGAAGAACUUUGUAGGGUUGAAGGCUGUAUUUGUAACAGGUUUCUCUGCACUGCAUACCGACUUUGGUGGAAACAGUCCUGGUGCCGCAGGGAAAGUUGAGGCAGUUCAGUGCAGCAUGAGCAGCAUCAGUUCCCGGAGCAGGAACAAAUACUGGGCCCAGCAUCCCUCUCCUGCGUAUCUGGAUCUUCCUUUUUCCCUGCGCAAGGUGGCUCAGCCCAGCUAAAAGGGGUGGAUUCCGAUUCCUUCCUUU